rnacentral:lncRNA from 1 species
GCCUACAGUUCAUUUUUCAUACAAACAAUCCACAAACCUGCUCAUACACCUUCUAAACAUGUUAUUUAAUGUUGAAACUAAACAAUUGGCUAAAACACAAACCCCAUUUUAUAAUACCAGUACCAGCUCAUUUAACAUCUACCAUUACCAAUCUACUACAUCGUAUUUAAACAGUAAGGGAAAAAAAGAGAAACUAUGGCAAAUACAGCCUAUAUUCCAUCGGAUUCCACUUGAUUCUCAUAACCAGCAUUCAAUCAGUAUUUCUGGACUAAGGAAAUACCUAGAAAUAAAAGUAAAGGGGAUAAGAUCAGCAUUAGCAACAACAGUAUCCAGCAGCAGAAAGAAACCACAGAAGAAAAACAGCUUUAAACCAAAGACUGAUGCUCAAAAAUCAAAAAUCCACAACCAGAACUUCAAACCAAGCUUUUAAACCACCAGAUUCAAAUUAUUUGAGCCCAGAUAAGUAAGAAACUAUUUCAGGAAUUAGAAAUUGAAGAGAUCACAGAAAGAAUUCAAUUAAACAGUGAAAAGCAGCCGUUUGUAUUUUUAUCUCCUAGGUAUCUCUCUUAUUCUGUCCUCCCUCUUAAACUUAUAUAUCUCUGUUUCUUUUCUUAGGUCUCUAUAUUAUGUCCCUUCUCCUUCAGUCUUUUCCUAAGCAAGCUUUAUAUAGUGUCUCUUAAGGUAGCCUAAAAUCAAUUCUCUAUUCACAAAUGCCCCUUCCCCAAUUUCUUAAUUGAUUCCACUCAAUUCUUUGCUCUUUAUUUUAUUCAAUAAUGCACUCCUAAACCCUACCACUAUUAGAAGCUUCUUAAUUAGUUAGGUAAGGUUCACACAACCUAAAUAAUCCCUAGGCUACCCUUACAACCCUAUUAAUUACUCAAACCUAACAAACGGGUAAAAUUGACCCAAAGUCCUUGAGCUACUGUCUGUGAUCCAAACCAAUUUCCGUGAUCAUAUGGAAGGCAGAAAACAAAAUCAACAACUUAAAUGGAUUCAACAUACGACUGAUUAAUAACAACUACUAUAUGACUGAUUAAUAUCAACAAACAAAUAUGAAAUUAGUUAGGUUAUUAAAACAAACGACCUAAUUAGAUGAACUAAGUGAGUGGAGAAAUAAGAAUCAUAGAACAAAUUUCUCAAAAAGAAACAAAGGGGACAACUAGCAGAGAACAGUUUGAACUCAACAGAUUGGUCGAAUUUUCAAAGGGAGUAAAAAAAUCUAACUAAAGAAAGGGAGAGUAAAAAGGAUAUGAAAUAGAUUAAAAGAAUGAAAACACUUACCAUUUCAGAAAUCAACAACUUGCUAUAGACCUUGAUUUAACGAGACUGAUGUUACACAUUUGUUCUUUGUCAAGAACAACCGAGCAACAUCAGUCUUCGUCGAAUCUAAUCUUCAAAACUUUGACAGAAAUAGCAUCAUAUGAUAAUGCAUGCCACUAGGUUUUAUUAAGGACAAUCUUAGAUUUUUACGGCUCAACCUCGGAUUUAAGAUUCGAGAGAUUCUGGUAAUAUUCGAGGGAAAAAAAUAAUGGAUUAGGUACGAGGGAGAUAUGGGGGUUAGGUCGUGUUGAUUUGGGGUCGAUUGGGUAAGUUAGGGUUUAAGGGUCUGACCUUUGAUCCCAUAUUCGAAGAGUUGGACUGUGAUUCAAAGGUAAUGGGUUGAGGAUUUGGAACGGGGAGAUGAAGGAGAGUCGAUGGUGUGAAUUUGGGGUUGUUUGGUGGUUACCCGCCGUCGUAGCCGAUUUCUGGCAGGCGGUCAACGGUGGUUUGAGGCGGCAAUUUUGGCUGGUCUCUAAAGAGAGAUCAGAGAUGAUAAGGG